AUAAGUUGCCCCCCUCCCCAGUCCCACAUCUUUGCAAGGUGUUUUGGAGGCUUCAGAGGUCGACUUAUAUGCUGCAAUUUUGCUCCGAAGUUAUCCAUCAAAUCCUGAUCAAAAGAAUGGAUAGGUGAUUCACUUGCUAAGCUCUGUCAGUGCUGGUCUGUUGUUCUUCACAAGGGAGCAUUCACAGCUCUUUCGAUUUUUCUCAUGGUUUGGUCGGUGAACCUAGAGCUAUUCUUGGAUGCAGGUAGGAGGAGGACGACUGCAAUCAGCCCUGCCAAGACAAGUUGGGACCACUCCAUUGCUUUGACGACCUUUUCUCUCACUUUCAACCAGCUAGAUCUUCCCAGGAUAUCCUCCUUGCCACUUACCUGGAAGCUCUUGAGCCACUAGGGGUU